ensembl:snRNA U6 U6 spliceosomal RNA
GUGCUCACUUUAGCAGCACAUCUAUUAAAAAUAAAACAAUACAGAAAAGAUUAGUAAGGAUCCUGUGCGAGGAUGACACACAAAUUUAAAGUUUUCCAUAGUUUU